AAGUGUUUUGGGGGGAUAGGAGU
rnacentral:miRNA from 1 species